rnacentral:lncRNA from 1 species
GUGGGGUGGCACUUGAGCCCCAUGUGCUCCCUUUGCAGGGUUCCUUGGUACCACUCUGUCCCUGCCCCCAUACUCCCUGGAGAGGAAGCUCUCCAGCCCAAGUCCUCUGGACCCAGCUGCUUCCCUAAGUUUUGCCUCGAUUGCAACAACACCAUUAGACCCCACAGUCCCCAUCUCUGGCCCAGAUGACCUCUCUCCUCCCGCCAGCCUCGGGAACCCUUCGGGGCAGCCAGAGUGUGGGCCAGGGUCCUGCAGCGUGGGAGAAUUGCCUGAACGCGAGGGGCAGCCUCCCGAGGCGCCGAGGCCCCUCUUUUUCCUGACCCUGGAGGCCGACUGGGCAGAGGCCAGGGCUCGCUGGGGGCUGGCCUGGGAGGCCCACGUGUACGGGGUAGGCGCGCUCUUCGGCCUGGUUGCCUUGCUGGCGCUGCUGGCUCUGGCCCUCUUGCCCUGGCGCUGCCCGCCCGGCGCCCCCUGCCUGGCGCUGCUGGACCUGCUGCUGCUGUCGGCCGGGACCACGCGGGCCUUCCCGCUCUUCUACGACGCCUAUGGGCACAGGGAUCGACUGCCCGCGCUCGCCUGGCUGCUGCUGCAGGACCUUCCGCUGCC